UGUUAAAAAUUUCAUCAAUUUUCACUAUUAAAAAUUGACAUAGCUAAUAAAAUAAAUAGAUAGUUACACAUGGCAUGCCACAUAUACAUCAUUUUGAGGUAUAAGACUAGUUUUUAACCGUAUAAAUUGAUGAAAUUUUUAACA
rfam:Gossypium hirsutum cultivar TM-1 chromosome 7, whole genome shotgun sequence